rnacentral:rRNA from 1 species
CACGUAGGCGGAUAUUUAAGUCAGGGGUGAAAUCCAGAGCUCAACUCUGGAACUGCCUUUGAUGCUGGGUAUCUUGAGUAUGGAAGAGGUAAGUGGAAUUCCGAGUGUAGAGGUGAAAUUCGUAGAUAUUCGGAGGAACACCAGUGGCGAAGGCGGCUUACUGGUCCAUUACUGACGCUGAGGUGCGAAAGCGUGGGGAGCAAACA